GUGACCUAACCAUAGCCAAUAAAGCAAAACAAAACGUCAGUGCUAUUUAGCUGUCAAGUCAACUUAGUCAACUGUCAGCCAUAUUGCUUUGCUUGUCAUGGCGCCUUGCAUGUAUUACUCGCGUAUUUCUUGGAGUUUAAUUUUCAAAAUCCUUUACCAUUUUUAAAUACAAUCAAAUGUGAUAAAAACAUAUAGUGACUUCAUAGAUUUUGUGUAAAUGCCACCGAAAAUCAGAGCCUUUAAAUGCGAAAUAUGUGGCAAUCUCUACACUCGCGAUGUUCCCGAAAAAAGGAAAUUCAUGGCGAAAUUCCCGUUGGAUGAAGACCGGUGCAAGCAGUGGGUCAAAAUAAUUUUGAACGAAGACCUGGUAUAUCUUCCCAUAGAAAAGUUACAUGAAUUAAAAUUUGUAUGCGCAGACCAUUUCGAAAAAAAGCUUUUAAUAAAAAAAACAAUCAACUUAAAACGUCUGCCAUCUGCCAUACCUUCAAAAAAUUUAAAAGCUGAUCCACUUCCUGAUGAAAUGCUGCUUAAUUUUCCUUGUCAUGUUUAUUCGAAAAGGAACAUUCCUACGAAUCUCGACCCUCUGGCGAUCGGUGACAAUGAAGUUUAUUCACUACCCCAAGUAGAAGCCAUCGCUGGGCCUAGUAACUCGGAAUCGUUCAUGUCUGGACAGCAGCUGCCAUCUCAAACCAUACCAUUAAAAAAGCUUGAAGCUAUUCCAAUCGCUGAUGAAACUCUGCUGAAUUUUUCCAAUAAUGCUUAUUCAACAUUGUUGAUAAAAGGAAUGACAAUGAAGUUUCACUACCUCAAGUAGAAGCUAUCGCUGGGCCUAGUAACUCGGAUUCAUUCAUGCCUGGACAGCAGCUGCCAUCUCAAGCCAUGACAUUACAAAAGCUUGAAGCUAUUCCAAUCACUGAUGAAACUUAGCUGAAUUUUUCCAAUAAUGCUUAUGACAAUGAAGUUUCACUACCUCAAGUAGAAGCUAUCGCUGGGCCU